AUUGAACGCUGGCGGCAGGCUUAACACAUGCAAGUCGAACGCGUGGCGGACGGGAGAGUCAUGCUUGGGAAUCACCCAUAUGGAGGGGGAUAACUACGGGAAACUGUAGCUAAUCCCGCGUACCAUAGGAUGAGCCCAAGUGGGACUAGGUAUUAGGUGAGGUAAAGGCUUACAAAGCCGACGAUCUCUAGCUGGUCUGCGAGGAUGACCAGCCACACUGGAACUGAGACACGGCCCAGACUCCUACGGGAGGCAGCAGUGGGGAAUAUUGCACAAUGGGCGAAAGCCUGAUGCAGCCAUGCCGCGUGAAUGAAGAAGGCCUUAGGGUUGUAAAGCACUUUUAGCGGGGAGGCGUUACCCACAGAGGAAGCACCGGCUAACUCCGUGCCAGCAGCCGCGGUAAUUC
rnacentral:rRNA from 1 species